UAGAUUAUAGCCUAAUAAAGCAUUUCAUUUACAUUGAAGAGAUAUUAAAUUUAAUUAAUCUAA
rnacentral:tRNA from 1 species